rnacentral:rRNA from 1 species
GACAGAGGGUGCAAACGUUGUUCGGAAUUACUGGACGUAAAGCGCGUGUAGGCUGUCGUGCCAGUCGGGUGUGAAAGCCCAGGGCUCAACCCUGGAAGUGCACUCGAAACUGCAAGACUUGAAUCUCGGAGAGGGUAGCGGAAUUCUGGGUGUAGAGGUGAAAUUCGUAGAUAUCCAGAGGAACACCGGUGGCGAAGGCGGCUACCUGGACGAGUAUUGACGCUGAGACGCGAAAGUGCGGGGAGCAAACAGG